GACGAACGCUGGCGGCGUGCUUAACACAUGCAAGUCGAACGGUGAGGCCCUGCUUUUGUGGGGUGCUCGAGUGGCGAACGGGUGAGUAACACGUGAGUAACCUGCCCUCUACUUUGGGAUAACGUCAGGAAACUGGGGCUAAUACCGGAUAUUAGCUCCUCCUCCCUUGUGGGUGGGGGAAAGGUGCGGGGGUUGGGGAUGGACUCGCGGCUUCUCAGCUGGUUGGUGGGGGAGUGGCUUACCAAGGCUUUGACGGGUAGCCGGCCGGCGAGGGGGACCGGCCACAUUGGGACUGAGAUACGGCCCAGAGUCGUACGGGAGGCAGCAGUGGGGAAUAUGGCAGAAUGGUGGGAAGCCGGAUGCAGCAACGCCGCGUGCGGGAGGACGGCCUUCGGGUUGGAAACCGCUUUAGCCUGUGACGAAGCGGGAGUGACGGUAAUGGGUAAAGAAGCACCGGCUAACUACGUG
rnacentral:rRNA from 1 species